UAUGGAAGGCAGCAGUGGGGAAUAUUGGACAAUGGGCGAAAGCCUGAUCCAGCCAUGCCGCGUGUGUGAAGAAGGUCUUCGGAUUGUAAAGCACUUUAAGUUGGGAGGAAGGGCAGUAAAUUAAUACUUUGCUGUUUUGACGUUACCGACAGAAUAAGCACCGGCUAACUCUGUGCCAGCAGCCGCGGUAAUACAGAGGGUGCAAGCGUUAAUCGGAAUUACUGGGCGUAAAGCGCGCGUAGGUGGUUCGUUAAGUUGGAUGUGAAAUCCCCGGGCUCAACCUGGGAACUGCAUUCAAAACUGACGGGCUAGAGUAUGGUAGAGGGUGGUGGAAUUUUCCUGUGUAGCGGUGAAAUGCGUAGAUAUAGGAAGGAACACCAGUGGCGAAGGCGACCACCUGGGACUGAUACUGACACUGAGGUGCGAAAGCGUGGGGAGCAAACAGGAUUAGAUACC
rnacentral:rRNA from 1 species